GCCCCCGUAGCUCAGUUGGAUAGAGCGGCCGCCUCCUAAGCGGCAGGCCACUGGUUCGAAUCCAGCCGGGGGUGCCA
rnacentral:tRNA from 3 species